rnacentral:rRNA from 1 species
GACGAACGCUGGCGGCGUGCCUAAUACAUGCAAGUCGAGCGAAUCGAUGGGAGCUUGCUCCCUGAGAUUAGCGGCGGACGGGUGAGUAACACGUGGGUAACCUGCCUGUAAGACUGGGAUAACUUCGGGAAACCGGAGCUAAUACCGGAUACUUUCUUUCCUCGCAUGAGGGAAGAUGGAAAGAUGGUUCUGCUAUCACUUACAGAUGGACCCGCGGCGCAUUAGCUAGUUGGUGAGGUAACGGCUCACCAAGGCAACGAUGCGUAGCCGACCUGAGAGGGUGAUCGGCCACACUGGGACUGAGACACGGCCCAGACUCCUACGGGAGGCAGCAGUAGGGAAUCUUCCGCAAUGGACGAAAGUCUGACGGAGCAACGCCGCGUGAGCGAAGAAGGCCUUCGGGUCGUAAAGCUCUGUUGUUAGGGAAGAACAAGUACGAGAGUAACUGCUCGUACCUUGACGGUACCUAACCAGAAAGCCACGGCUAACUACGUGCCAGCCGCCGCAGUAAAAC